rnacentral:rRNA from 1 species
UAUGGUUUUGGUGCCAGACGGGUGAGUAUGCGUAGGAUCUACCUAGUAGUACGGAAUAGCCAUUAGAAAUGGUGGGUAAUACUGUAUAAUCCCCGAGGGGGAAAGAUUUAUCGCUAUUAGAUGAGCCUACGUUAGAUUAGCUAGUUGGUGAGGUAAUGGCUUACCAAGGCUAUGAUCUAUAGCUGGUCUGAGAGGACGAUCAGCCACACUGGAACUGAGAUACGGUCCAGACUCCUACGGGAGGCAGCAGUGGGGAAUAUUGGACAAUGGGCGAAAGCCUGAUCCAGCUAUGCCGCGUGAGUGAAGAAGGCCUUCGGGUUGUAAAACUCUUUCAAUAGGGAAGAUAAUGACGGUUAACCUAUGAAACUUUUUACCCCUAUUUUCCUUUUUUUCACCUUUACCUAAAAAUUUUGAAUAAUUUUUACCCCAAGCUUAUUAUUUUUCAAAUCUUCAAAUUUGUGAAAAAUUUUAAAUUAAUUAUUUGUGGGGGGGGGGGGCAAAUUUUUUCCCCACUCAUUUUUUAAGAAAUUUUCAUGUAAAAAAAUUAAAAUUUGUUUAAAUUUUAACUAUUUUUAAAAUUAAAAAUUUAAAUUUUAAAAUUUAAAUUAUUUUUAAUAAUUUUUUAACAAUUUAUAAAUUUUAAUAUGUCAUUUAAAAUUGCUUAAUUUUAACGUAAAAUUUUUAAAAUUGGCUCUAUUUUUCAAAACUUUAAAAACUUCAUUUAACUAAUUUUUAACAAAUUUUUUAAUUAACACACAUAUUUAAAAAUUUUCGCACAAUUCUACAAAUCUUUGGACAUUUUGAAAUCUUUCCAACUUAUACAAAUUUAAAAAAUUUGCAAGAAACAUUUUUGCUACUUGUAUUCCAAUUUAAACGUCUAACUUUUUUCUGAAUUGCAACUAAAUUAUAUGAAACAUGUUUGAACUCUGUAAAUUUGCACUCCUCUCUUAAACACAAUUUUUGUGUACCAACUUUAAAAUGUUGUGAACCAAAAUACUAAUGACUGCUACACAAUGUCUCAACAUGCUUGAACACAACAGGUGCCAUGUCAUGGCACAAUGUUGUCUGACCUGUGGCACAUACUUGUAAGGGUGCUAUGCUCUAUAUACAGUAUAUACACACACAUAUAGAUGUUGCCUCUACAAGUACAUGUGUGAAAACAACAAAAAGCUGCUGAGCAUGAUGACUAGCACAAUGGGCCUAAGACGCCGGUCGGCGCACAAAACACAAUAUAUCUUGAAUGUGUGUGAACAAAAAUC